AAUGAAACUUGAAUGAGUGGUUUUAUAAAAGACGGCUCGUGCCGGUCAACUACAUUUGUAACGACUCUUGCUGUAAUAAUAAAAUGAGCCUUAAUCAAAGUGGCUAUUGUAAUUUGUAAGUGUUAGUUAUUACUGUUUUUUUUUUUUUGUUCUCUAUGGGAAUGAAUAAACAAUCAAGUGGACUUUGGAACAAAAUGAAAUUAGUUUAUAUUUAUGGUUACAUCGAACUAAAAGUGUUGAAACACUAUUAUACUAUAGGUGUGAUUACGUGAAGAAAACAUUUGGCUAAGUAAAAUAACUCUAAACGAU
rnacentral:lncRNA from 1 species